rnacentral:RNase_P_RNA from 1 species
GCGGGGGGCCGGGCGGCCGCGGGGCGCGAGCCCCGAGGAAAGUCCGGACUCCACGAAGCGACGGUGCCGGGUAACGCCCGGGCGGCGACCGGUUCUCCGGGAAGCCGACGGAAAGCGCCACAGAGAACAGACCGCCGGGGGUCCGCCCCCGGCAAGGGUGAAACGGUGGGGCAAGAGCCCACCGGGAGGGCGGCAACGUCCUCCGCACGGCAAGCCCCACCGGGAGCAAUGCCAAAUAGGGACCGCGAUGGGGGCUUCGCCCGGCGGUCCGGGUUGGCAGCUCGAGGGCCGCGGCGACGCGCGCUCCAGAGGAAUGGUCGCCACCGGGGCCUCGGCUCCGGCACAGAAUCCGGCUUACAGGCCCCCCGCACGC